rnacentral:rRNA from 1 species
UGCGUAGGCGGCGUCGUAAGUGUGUCUGUCAAACAGCGGGCUCAACUCGUUGGCUCGGACGCAAACUGCGGUGCUAGAGUCUGUCAGGGGCAAGUGGAAUUCCAGGUGUAGCGGUGAAAUGUAUAGAUAUCUGGAGGAACACCGGCGGCGAAGGCGACUUGCUGGGACUGGACUGACGCUGAGGCACGAAAGCUAGGGUAGCAAACGGGAUUAGAUACCCCGGUAGUCCUAGCCGUAAACGUUGUUCACUCGGUGGUGGGGGCGUCGAUCCUCUCGCUGCCUAAGCAAACGUGAUAAGUGAACCGCCUGGGGAGUAUGCGCGCAAGCGUGAA